rnacentral:rRNA from 1 species
GAUGAACGCUCGCGGGAGGCCUAACACAUGCAAGCCGAGCGGGAUUUGUUGGUUAGCUUGCUAACUAACAAUGAGAGCGGCGUACGGGUGCGUAGCACGUGUGCAACCUGCCUUUAUCUGGGGGAUAGCCUUUCGAAAGGAAGAUUAAUACCCCAUAACAUAUUGAUUGGCAUCAGUUAAUAUUGAAAGCUCCGGCGGAUAGAGAUGGGCACGCGUAAGAUUAGCUAGUUGGUGAGGUAACGGCUCACCAAGGCUGCGACCUUUAGGGGGCCUGAGAGGGUGAUCCCCCACACUGGUACUGAGACACGGACCAGACUCCUACGGGAGGCAGCAGUGAGGAAUAUUGGACAAUGGGUGAGAGCCUGAUCCAGCCAUCCCGCGUGAAGGACUAAGGACCUAUGGUUUGUAAACUUCUUUUAUACAGGGAUAAACCUACUCUCGUGAGGGUAGCUGAAGGUACUGUAUGAAUAAGCACCGGCUAACUCCGUG